rnacentral:misc_RNA from 1 species
GAAAACCACGGACAAAAUAACAUUUCCAGAGUAUACAGAUUGUCCGAUGUCUUCAACCAGAUACCGAGAAUACCAACCCAUCUCUUCAACAGUCGACCAUUUAACUAAACCAAGAAAGAAGAAACAGUUGUCGCAAAGACUCGACAUAAAGCCAACAAAGGGACCUAACCGACAGUGCAGCUCAAAGUCACUGAACACCCCAUCUCCACCCAAAACAAAAU